rnacentral:rRNA from 1 species
GCCAGGUUAGUACUUGGAUGGGAGACCGCCUGGGAAUACCAGGU